AUUGAACGCUGGCGGCAGGCCUAACACAUGCAAGUCGAGCGAGCGGCGGACGGGUGAGUACUGUCUGGGAAACUGCCUGAUGGUGGGGGAUAACUACUGGAAACGGUAGCUAAUACCGCAUACCAUCAGAUGUGCCCAGAUGGAAUCGGCUAGUAGGUGGGGUAACGGCUCACCUAGGCGACGAUCACUAGCUGGUCUGAGAUGAUGAUCAGCCACACUGGGACUGAGACACGGUCCAGACUCCUACGGGAGGCAGCAGUGGGGAAUCUUGCACAAUGGGCGCAAGCCUGAUGCAGCCAUGCCGCGUGUGUGAAGAAGGCCUUCGGGUUGUAAAGUGCUUUCAGCGGGGAAGCGUUACCCGCAGAAGAAGCACCGGCUAACUCCGUGCCAGCAGCCGCGGUAAUAC
rnacentral:rRNA from 1 species